AUUGUGCUGUUGAGAAUACAUUUGCAACAGAAAAAAAAAUUUGGUUGUUUGCCAAUUUACAAAGCACUUCCCCAAUACAUCAUCUAUCCCUCAGCCUUUUGCUCUUGAUGUCAUUCAUUUGCCCAUUUACAGAUGAAAAUCAAUGAGUUCUGAAAGUGAGAAGAGACCUGCUGGAGUCAAAUGCCAGAGUUUGCAUCUGAAGCACUGGACUCUGCCUCUGGUGACUCCAGACACCUCCAGGCUCUGGGAGAGUGAGUCCUGCUGUUACGUGCUGAGUCUGGGUCUCUAUAACUAAAUAGCGAGAUGGCAAGUGUGGACUUGGAGGAUGUGACUCAUCUCUGUUGCCACGACUGUGACUAUGACUAUGGCCCCUCUCCCUUCUCUGUCUUCAAGUAGGGGGAUGAAGCAGUUUCCAUGUGGGUGAUGCCUAAGACACACGGUCGUCUAGCACCAAGGCUGUAUCCACCGUGUCUUCCUCUGUGCUCUUGGACACAAGUGUUGGGGGUGUGAUGAGCUGUGUAUGGCUGUUUGGAUUUUCCUUGAUUAUGUAAACUGGUGGCUUGUGCCAAGAACUCUCUGUGUCCCAAAGCUCUGAGCUUGGUCCCUCCCCUGGGCUGACUUCAUUUCCUUUUUGGGGGAGGUGUAUUUGUCAAGUUGCCGGGCAGUGAUAACUGGCAGUGCCUCUCCUGCGUGAGGUACCUGGAGUUCGGGGACCCCCAACCUGUUGACAAUGACAGCAGAUGAAUUGGUUUUCUUUGUGAAUGGCAAAAAGCCUGCUGAGUGAGACGUAUCAGCUGGCCCCAAGUUGGUACCGUGUUGGAGGUGGUUGCUUGAGUAUGAUGACGGCGACAAGGUGGAGCAGAUACGUUUGAAGUCAAUCAGCAUGUCUCUCCUGAAGCGCCAGGUGCCUGAAGCAAUGUACUAGUGAUGAAGCCUCAGGUGAAGAGUCACUCGCCCUUUGGCUUUUCCCUGGCUCCUUCAGGCCUGGACUCAACGAGCUUUUGGUCUCCCCAUCUUUUUUCAGUCCUGGACUCCAGGGCCCCAGGGAUCUCAGUGACCUCAGGGGUCUUUGUGAUCCUGGAGGUCUCAUGGGGCUGGACAUGUCGAAUCAGUCUGUCAGGAAUCCGGACAGGAGAAGUGGAAUCCUGUAGAAACACACAAGCACACCCUCUCCCACAAGUUAGCAACACAUCUGGCCCUUUUCAGUCUCUGGUAAGGAGGUCUUUUCACUUGACCGGGGCCGAGUCAUAGCCCCUUCAGGAAUCCAGUGUCUCAUCAUUGUAGUCUGCCCCUGUGUGUCUAUGUUUAAAUGAUUAAUUACAAAGCAUGGUGUAAAACAUGAUGUGGAGAGGAAUACUUAAAUUCUCCCUGCUUUAAUUUAGCUAUCUGAUUUUUUAAAGUUUGGUGCGCCCUUUCCACUAUGGCUUGACCUUGGGGAUUAUAAGGUAUUCCUGUUGAAUGUACUCUGGAAAAUUGUUGACAAAAUCUCUUAAAAGCAGCAGAAGUAUAAGCCAGGGCGUUAUCUGUUUUCAUUUGUUCGGGGAGUCCUAUUUGGGAAAAACAUUGAAACAAGUGCUGAAUUACAUCUCUUGCUGCUUCACCGGAUCUAGCAGAGGCUAUAAUAACAUGAGAAAAGGUAUCCACAGUAACAUGCACAAAGGAAAGUUUUCCAAAGGCCGGGAUAUGAGUUACAUCCAUUUGCCAGAGAGCAUUAGGCCUAAGGCCUUGGGGAUUUACUCCUAAUGGUGGAGAUGGAUUAAAUAUUGGGCAGUUUGGACAUAACUAUUUGUCUAGCUGUUUCCCUAGGGAUAGGAAAUUCAUACCUUAAACCAGCUGCAUUUUGAUGGUGAAUUUUGUGAGAAUUUUUGGCCUUGUCAAUCUUUUUAUGUAAGUUUAAAGCAAUUACUUUAGUUAAUGCAUCUGCCAAAGCAUUUCCUUCAUGUAAAGGGCCGGGCAAGCUGGAAUGGGCUCUAAUAUGUCCCACAAAAUAUUUCUUAUCUCUAUGCUUAAUCUCUUUCUGUAAAUCAGAUAACAAGGAGAAGAUAGUAGUUUUAUUUUCUGGAAUAUUAGCAGUCUCUGUAUGAGGAAACAACCCUACAAUAUAUUGGGAGUCAGUCAAAAGAUUGAAGGUGUGGUCUCGUAAAUGUUGAAAAGCCCAAAUAACUGUUCGUAACUCAGCCCUCUAGGCAGAUGUCUCUUCAGUUACCUGAACAUGGGAUUUUCUAUCAAUAAUUGUGACUGCUUUACCAUUAGAGGAACCAUCUGUGAAAACUAAAAUUGCCCCUUCCAAAGGUUGAAUAGAAAAUUUCUUGGGAAAAAUCACUGGAUGAGUUUUCAAAAAAUGCAAAAGGGGGCUUAAGGGCAAAUGAAACAAAAUUUGACCCCGGAAAUCUAUCAGGGCAACUUGCCAAUCAUCAC